GUGAGGAAUAUUGGUCAAUGGGCGAGAGCCUGAACCAGCCAAGUCGCGUGAAGGAAGAAGGAUCUAUGGUUCGUAAACUUCUUUUGCAGGGGAAUAAAGUGCGGGACGUGUCCUGUUUUGUAUGUACCCUGAGAAUAAGGAUCGGCUAACUCCGUGCCAGCAGCCGCGGUAAUACGGAGGAUCCGAGCGUUAUCCGUAUUUAUUGGGUUUAAAGGGUGCGUAGGUGGUUUGAUAAGUCAGCGGUGAAAGUUUGCAGCUUAACUGUAAAAAUGCCGUUGAAACUGUCGGACUUGAGUGUAAAUGAGGUAGGCGGAAUGCGUGGUGUAGCGGUGAAAUGCAUAGAUAUCACGCAGAACUCCGAUUGCGAAGGCAGCUUACUAAGCUACAACUGACACUGAAGCACGAAAGCGUGGGGAUCAAACAGGAUUAGAAACCCUAGUAGUCC
rnacentral:rRNA from 1 species